rnacentral:rRNA from 1 species
UGAAGUUGGAAUCGCUAGUAAUCGUGGAUCAGCAUGCCACGGUGAAUACGUUCCCGGGCCUUGUACACACCGCCCGUCACACCAUGAGAGUUUGUAACACCCAAAGCCGGUGAGGUAACCUUCGGGGACCAGCCGUCUAAGGUGGGACAGAUGAUUAGGGUGAAGUCGUAACAAGGUAGCCGUAGGAGAACCUGCGGCUGGAUCACCUCCUUUCUAAGGAA